ACGCUGGCGGCGUGCCUAAUACAUGCAAGUCGAGCGAACGGACGAGAAGCUUGCUUUUCUGAUGUUAGCGGCGGACGGGUGAGUAACACGUGGAUAACCUACCUAUAAGACUGGGAUAACUUCGGGAAACCGGAGCUAAUACCGGAUAAUAUUUUGAACCGCAUGGUUCAAAAGUGAAAGACGGUCUUGCUGUCACUUAUAGAUGGAUCCGCGCUGCAUUAGCUAGUUGGUAAGGUAACGGCUUACCAAGGCAACGAUGCAUAGCCGACCUGAGAGGGUGAUCGGCCACACUGGAACUGAGACACGGUCCAGACUCCUACGGGAGGCAGCAGUAGGGAAUCUUCCGCAAAGGGCGAAAGCCUGACGGAGCAACGCCGCGUGAGUGAUGAAGGUCUUCGGAUCGUAAAACUCUGUUAUUAGGGAAGAACAUAUGUGUAAGUAACUGUGCACAUCUUGACGGUACCUAAUCAGAAAGCCACGGCUAACUACGUG
rnacentral:rRNA from 1 species